rnacentral:rRNA from 1 species
GUGGGGAAUUUUGGACAAUGGGCGCAAGCCUGAUCCAGCAAUGCCGCGUGCAGGAAGAAGGCCUUCGGGUUGUAAACUGCUUUUGUACGGAACGAAACGGCUCUGGUUAAUACCUGGGGCUAAUGACGGUACCGUAAGAAUAAGCACCGGCUAACUACGUGCCAGCAGCCGCGGUAAUACGUAGGGUGCAAGCGUUAAUCGGAAUUACUGGGCGUAAAGCGUGCGAAGGCGGUUUUGUAAGACAGGCGUGAAAUCCCCGGGCUCAACCUGGGAAUGGCGCUUGUGACUGCAAGGCUGGAGUGCGGCAGAGGGGGAUGGAAUUCCGCGUGUAGCAGUGAAAUGCGUAGAUAUGCGGAGGAACACCGAUGGCGAAGGCAAUCCCCUGGGCCUGCACUGACGCUCAUGCACGAAAGCGUGGGGAGCAAACAGGAUUAGAUACCCCGGUAGUCC